rnacentral:lncRNA from 1 species
GUUAAAGCAACAUAAGAAACAACAUAAGAGUCUCAUCACAUCCACAUGUCAUGAGACUGCGUGAAAAUAGCCGAGUGUCUGCUCCACUAGAGUUGGCUGCCUUCCCUUCAGGAUCCUUCAUGGCCAAUGUCUCAUAAAGAAGGAUAGUCUGACCUGCUGAGAUACCUCAGUGCCCCUGCCUUUGCUUUUAGCCCAGGGUUGGGGAAGUGGCCUCAAUAAGGGCACUCACAUUUGAGGAAACAUCAUCUUUCCCCAAAUAUGUAAUGAUACAUGACACCCUCUUGGCUGCUCUGUUAGAGCCCAGUGCCCUGUGUGAUUCUCCAGGCCCAGAUGUGAUCCCACAGGCCACCUUUUGUUGCUGCUCCUAAAUGUCCCACAUGCUAUCAAAGAGAGACAACAGUUGCUUAUUUGCCAUCAGAGUUUGGAACGUUGAAGGAUGUUCAUAGUCACAGGGCCAUGGGUGAUCACCGUGGACUUGUGGUUAAUAGUUGUCCAAAAGUAGAGGGCUGGGAAUAGCAUCUGUUGUCCCAGAUGUGAGGUGGAAUGCAUUUGGCUCACAGAUCCAAAGCUAUCUUUUAUAGCCCAAUAAGAUGAUCUCCAGUCGAAUCAGAGCGUUCGUUAAAAAACAGUGGAAUUGUCUUAGUUGAUGUUGAGCUGCUAUAGCAGGAUACCACACUGGGUGGGCCAAAGGGAAAUAUGGAAUAGAGAGUGGGAAGUCCAAGAUUGGGUAGGGUUUGCUUGCUCCAUCAUCCUUUGGCAAAAUGUACAAGCUGGAGAGCUCAACAGAGGGCAAAUUCUUCAUCCCUUUAUAGCGACAGGUUUCCAUAAUAACAACUCACUCCCUAGAUAACAGCACUGGUCCUUGCACCAGAGCCAAUCCCUCAUGACCUUUUGGAGGUCUUGUGUUUUUAACAGUUUUGCUUUGAAGAUUAAUUCUACAGCCGGUGAACUGGGGAGGAAUACGUACUGGCCUUAGUACACACAGAACUUGCUUCUUGACCCAGUAAGAGCCAGGAAAUUAAAGAUUACUGAAUUACCUGACACAUAGGUAAGGGCAGAUUUAUGCAUGCCAACAGACUGUGAAUGUCUCUUUCUGCGCACUACUGUCUGCUGCUCUAUUUCCUUUGUCCUCACCAGGUUUAAGCUCCUCAAGAGGUAAAUAGAUGAUGUGAUCACAUAUAUCAAUGUGAUCACAUACACAAUUGUAACACUCUAGGAUACUCCAUUUAAAACAUGAUCCAUGGGACCAGCAAGAUGACCCAGUGUGUAAAACACUUGUCCCCAAAGCCUGAUGACUGGAGUGCAAGUCCCAGUUCAAGCUCCUUCCACCUGGUGGAAGGAAAGAACCAACUCCCACAAGUUGUCGUCUGAUGGGCACCCAGAUUCAAUGGCAUGUGUGCACAUGUGUACACCACCCCUCUCACAUCCCUCUACUUCCUUCUAUACUCCCAACAUACACUGAAUAAAUAAAUGAAUGAAAAAUAAACAGAGCUCAUUGCACACAGCUGUUCUUAUGUGAACUGGUACCCUUUACCCUCGUUAGAAUUCAGGCUAUGAAAUGAAGCCAGAACCUUGACCAGGGAUGGUGUGCUUCCUGGAAAAAGAGCUGCUCUCUGGACCCUGAAUUCCUACCCACCACUUAUGUGCUCAUCAGAUGGGUGUUGAUUCUGGUAAGAGGUGAGGGUCCUCAGAGGCAGUAAAAAUAGCUGAUGUGCUAAUGAGUACAUGGUAGACAAGGGAAGAAAAUGCAGGGCGUGAGGGCAAUCUUCUCUCAAAUAUUAAUCUGAAGUUAGAAAUAUAAGGUUCCAUCACAGUGCCCCAGUGAGGAUAGAGUAAUUACACAUCUCCCUGCCUGAGAUGUGGAGUAUGUGUGACAUUUAUCACCAGGGAGAUGAUGCAGGCACUGACUAAGCGAGAACCCCAGAAGACUCUAUAGAAAGACUUUGCCUCCUUCCAACCUCACUGAAGAGAUGGUGGCACCACAUCAGUGCAAACAUGGAGAGCAAGGCUCUAAGAAUGCCUGGCUUCCCACUGCAGCAUCCGUGGUUCUCGUGGCACUUGUCCAGGCCCUCUUUGAGAAGCUCAGGUUCAGCAGACUUUCUCAAUGGCUUUCACAAAACUGCUAACCAAGCAUGCCCAGUGUGUGAGCAUGAGAGAUUGCUCAUCCUCCUCAAGUCACAAUGCAGAUAAGGGCAGGCUGGUUGUAGAUCCUAGGUUUUAAGUAUUCUGCAGAGUAGUGCUUAGAAAUCAUUACACUAACCUCAAAACUCCUCAUACCACCAAGAGGACCUCUUGACUCAAGUGACAACACGGGGACCCAUAGCAGAUCCAAAACUCCUGUUACAACAAUCUGGGCUUGAGAGCUGAGAAACCUAACUCAUGCCAGGCCAAGGACUCCUGUAAAUGGAACAGCUGGUCUGAAGGAUCGAAUGUGUGAGUUGAUGAGGCAGAAACUGAAUGGUUGCUUCUUGUCCUACUUGUGGGUAUUUUGAAGACAGUACCUGUGUCUUAGGGUGCAAUAGUGGUGCUCAGUCCUGGGGAAGAGGGGUUUCAGGACAACAACUUUGAGGUUGAAGUUGGGAGAAGUACAUCAGUUCCUGAUAUCUUGCUGUUGGUUGCCCUAGCAUAGCUGCACUAGAAAACAAGACAUCAAUAAGCAGCAAGCAGGACUGUUAGAAAGAUCGACAGGAAACUCCCUGACCUAUAAGUACAGGAGGAUGUUAUUGUCUCCCUGGCUAAGGCCUAAAGAAUUGUGAUAGUUUGAAUUUGGGCUCUAACACAACACAAGAGAAACUGAAAUGGUGGAAGAUAGGCUUAGAGGAGGAAAGAAGGUGGGACUAUGGGAUGAUGCCAAGAGAUGUAGAAGAGGUAGCAUGGUGGGUCACAUGUCUCUCUAAAGUGUCAGGUCUCUGAAGUUGAACACUAUCUGGUAGUGAUGGGGAUGCUGGUACAGAGGAAAGUUCUCAAUGUCAUCAAGAGGACCCUGAAAUCAGACAAUGGAACAGCUGAUAUUGGAUAAAGAUAGUCAAUGACAGCAUC